rnacentral:rRNA from 1 species
UCAAGCUACUAAGGGCAUAUGGUGGAUGCCUUGGCGCCAAGAGCCGAAGAAGGGCGCGGUAAGGCCGCGAAAAGCCUCGGUUAGCUGUCUUACAAGCUGAACCGGGGAUUCCCGAAUGGGGAAACCCGCUCCGGGUUAUACCGGAGCACCGCCGGUCGAACACAUAGACCGGAUGGAGGUAAGCGAGGGAACUGAAACAUCUCAGUACCUCGAGGAAAAGAGAUUAUUCCCUGAGUAGCGGCGAGCGAAAGGGGAGCAGCCCAAACCUAUUGGACUUAGUGGCCUCGGGGCCUAUGCCCAGUAGGGGUUGUGGGAAUGAAUAUGGGGAAACCCGAGAAAUCCCCGGAGAGUUACAAACCGGACUCUAGCAGAAGGUGGUGGAAACUACCGCCAUAGAGGGUGAUAGCCCCGUAAGCGAAAGAGAAAGGCUCUCUGUAUUCAUCUCCCGAGUACCACGGGACACGAGAAAUCCUGUGGGAAGCUGGGGUGACCACGCUCCAAGGCUAAAUACUCUUGGCGACCGAUAGUGAACAAGUACCGCGAGGGAAAGGUGAAAAGUACCCCGGGAGGGGAGUGAAAUAGACCUGAAACCAUAUGCCUACAACCGGUCAGAGUCCUGACUUAGUCAGGAUGAUGGCGUGCCUAUUGAAGAAUGAGCCGACGAGUUAAUCUUUGUCGCAAGGUUAAGCAUCUGGAGAUGCGGAGCCGUAGCGAAAGCGAGUCUGAAUAGGGCGAUAAGUGGCAGGGAUUAGACCCGAAACCAAGUGAGCUACCCAUGGCCAGGGUGAAGCGGCCCUAAGAAGCCGUGAAGGCCCGAACCCUUGCGCCGUGCAAAACGCUGGGAUGAGCUGUGGGUAGUGGUGAAAUGCCUAGCGAACUUGGAGAUAGCUGGUUCUCCCCGAAAUGCAUUUAGGUGCAGCGUCAUGGGGAUUAGCGUUGGAGGUAGGGCACUGGAUGGGCUAGGGGGCGCAAGCUUACCAAUCCCAACCAAACCACGAAUGCCAACGCCCAAACCCUGGCAGUGAGUCUACGGGGGAUAAGCUCCGUGGGCGAGAGGGAAACAUCCCAGAUCACCGGCUAAGGUCCCAAAGUGUGGAUUAAGUGUUAAAGGUAGUAGAGUCGCUCAGACAGCCAGGAGGUUGGCUUAGAAGCAGCCACCCUUUAAAGAGUGCGUAACAGCUCACUGGUCGAGGGGCUCCGCGCCGAAAAUGUACCGGGGCUAAAAUCCACCACCGAAGCCGUGAUUCCGUUCGCUUAAGCGAGCGGGAGGUAGGGGAGCGUUGUCUUCUGCAUUGAAGCGUUGCUGUGAAGCUGCGUGGAGCGUAGACAAGUGAGAAUGUCGGCAUGAGUAGCACAAUUCUGGUGAGAAACCAGAACACCGAAUACCCAAGGGUUCCUACGCAACGUUAAUCGGCGUAGGGUUAGGCGGGCCUAAGCCGAGGGGGAAACCCGUAGGCGAUGGACAGCUGGUUAGUAUUCCAGCCCCACCUUUGUUUCGUUUAAAACCGUGGGAGGACGCAGUCAGAGAGGCCGAGCGUACCCAAUGGACAUGGUACGUCCCUGAAUCAAGGCGAUGCCGGGGGGGUAAAAGACCCCGGAUACAUGUAGCUGAGAUAUGGGGAAAGUCAGUUCUUCGGAACCGGCGAUUUGGCUGGCUUUAUACUGCCGAGAAAAGCCUCGCGUGUUAGGAACUAAGGUGACCGUACCCCAAACCAACUCAGGUGGGUACUCCGAAAUCGGAGAAGGUGGACGAGAGAACCUUCCUCAAGGAACUCGGCAAAUUUACCCCGUAACUUCGGGAAAAGGGGUGCCUCUGGAUGUGAUCCGUAUGGUGAGCAUCGGGAGGCCGCAGCGAAUGGGCCAGAGCGACUGUUUAACAAAAACACAGGUCUCUGCGAAGGGGAAACCCAAUGUAUAGGGGCUGAUACCUGCCCAGUGCUGGAAGGUUAAGGGAAAGUGUGCAAGCACAGCACCGAAGCCCCAGUGAACGGCGGCCGUAACUAUAACGGUCCUAAGGUAGCGAAAUUCCUCGUCGGGUAAAUUCCGACCCGCACGAAUGGUUUAACGACUUUGGCACUGUCUCGAGGAAGGACUCGGUGAAAUUGAAGUACCCGUGAAGAUGCGGGUUACCCGCGACAGGACAAAAAGACCCCGUGGAGCUUUACUAUAACCUGGCAUUGGAUCGAAGCUAGAGCUGUGUAGCAUAAGUGGGAGGCUUUGAAGUUGGGGCGUUAGCCUCGAUGGAGCCGCCAGUGAAAUACCACUCUUCUCGUGUUUUGUUUCUAACCUGCGAUCAAGCGCAGGGACCGUGUCAGGCGGGUAGUUUGACUGGGGCGGUCGCCUCCUAAAGAGUAACGGAGGCGCGCAAAGGUCCCCUCAGGGUGGAUGGAAAUCACCCAUCGAGUGCAUUGGCAUAAGGGGGCUUGACUGUGAGACCUACAAGUCGAGCAGGAGCGAAAGCUGGCCAAAGUGAUCCUACGGUUCCGAGUGGAAGGGCCGUGGCUUAUCGGAUAAAAGCUACCCCGGGGAUAA